GGUGCUGGGAGCGUCGGGAGGUGGGACAGCGAAGCGCGGCCGGCAGAGUCCCCGGGGCAGCGGCUCCCGGAGCUCGCGGGGGUCGCGGUGGAGACCAGGAAGCAGGAUCGGAGGCCAGAAAGGUGGAUCGUGGGUGCCAGCCGGGCGUCUGUUCGCACCUGCCCACCGGGAAGCGGAGCUUCAGAAUACGUGCUCCUCUGGGUAAACUGAUGGUGAUCUAUUUGUUUUGCCUUCUACCAGCUCAUGCAUUCUUCAAGUCUUGGUAACUGGAAUGUUUUGUCUGUUCAGACUCAAAACCGUCAGUGGGACAGAAACCAAAGUUAAGUGUCCCAAGAUGUCUCAAGAUGAACCUGGGAAAGCUGAGCUGUUGCCUGAACUGCUUCUCUGAAUCAGCUGAUACUUUUUGUCUCUAGUUUUAAAAGUUCCCUGGCAGCAAACUGAUAUCCAGAAUCUCCACUGCUUGGGGAUGGGAGAGAUUUUGAAGUUUUCAUGAAACACAUUCAUGUCUCAAACUGUGAACACAACCCAAAUGCCCAAAGCAAGAACCCCAGAGCACUGCCCACAUCUCUCUGAUACGUUAUCUGCUGCCUAACAAACCCAGCAUGAGUCUGCCGGGCUGGACCAUCUGCUGGGCCAAGUUCUAGGACAGCGAUACGUCCCUGAUUCAUCGGGUUUAGGACAGACCUGUAGCUGCCAGCUGGUAGAUGCCCUGGAGUUCUUUAAAUAGCCAAGCCUCGAGGUCUAUGGUCUGUUCUGAUGCAUGGCUCCCACCAGCAUGAAGCAGAGGGAUGACCUUACUCUGUGGCCAGGACAACUGUGAAAGAAGGAGCCCUGUGUGUG
rnacentral:lncRNA from 1 species